rnacentral:rRNA from 1 species
UUUCCAGAGAUGGAUGGUGCCUUCGGGAACUCUGAGACAGGUGCUGCAUGGCUGUCGUCAGCUCGUGUUGUGAAAUGUUGGGUUAAGUCCCGCAACGAGCGCAACCCUUAUCCUUUGUUGCCAGCGGUUAGGCCGGGAACUCAAAGGAGACUGCCAGUGAUAAACUGGAGGAAGGUGGGAUGACGUCAAGUCAUCAUGGCCCUUACGAGUAGGGCUACACACGUGCUACAAUGGCGCAUACAAAGAGAAGCGACCUCGCGAGAGCAAGCGGACCUCAUAAAGUGCGUCGUAGUCCGGAUUGGAGUCUGCAACUCGACUCCAUGAAGUCGGAAUCGCUAGUAAUCGUGGAUCAGAAUGCCACGGUGAAUACGUUCCCGGGCCUUGUACACACCGCCCGUCACACCAUGGGAGUGGGUUGCAAAAGAAGUAGGUAGCUUAACCUUCGGGAGGGCGCUUACCACUUUGUGAUUCAUGACUGGGGUGAAGUCGUAACAAGGUAGGCGUAGAUGA